GAUGAACGCUGGCGGCGUGCCUAAUACAUGCAAGUCGAGCGAACAGAUGAGGAGCUUGCUCCUCUGACGUUAGCGGCGGACGGGUGAGUAACACGUGGAUAACCUACCUAUAAGACUGGGAUAACUUCGGGAAACCGGAGCUAAUACCGGAUAAUAUAUUGAACCGCAUGGUUCAAUAGUGAAAGACGGUUUUGCUGUCACUUAUAGAUGGAUCCGCGCCGCAUUAGCUAGUUGGUAAGGUAACGGCUUACCAAGGCAACGAUGCGUAGCCGACCUGAGAGGGUGAUCGGCCACACUGGAACUGAGACACGGUCCAGACUCCUACGGGAGGCAGCAGUAGGGAAUCUUCCGCAAUGGGCGAAAGCCUGACGGAGCAACGCCGCGUGAGUGAUGAAGGUCUUCGGAUCGUAAAACUCUGCUAUUGGGGAAGAACAAAUGUGUAAGUAACUAUGCACGUCUUGACGGUACCUAAUCAGAAAGCCACGGCUAACUACGUG
rnacentral:rRNA from 1 species